GUAGCCCAGUUCGUGGAAAAUUCCACAUUCCAGGAACACGGUGACUUUGGAAAUGCAAGGGGGAACAUGGGAGGACCUACUAUUGGAGUACUUGAAAGAAUACAGAGGGUGGCAGAGACAGGCUAGCCAUAGCCCACCAGGAGGUAGAGAUUUGACAACUGAGGUUUCAGUUUACAUAGGAAUUAUGGUUGGUGGAUCUGACUUUUGACUGACUAUGACGAUGAACUGAUCCUGAAGGGCUUCGAUAAGCUUACUGUGAGCAGAGAUGACUUCCCUCUAUCCAGAAUGGUUAGGACAGGCAGCCCCUGAAGCCAAAUAUCCUAGAUUCACAAUCCCAGCUACACCAUUUCCCAGCUCUGCUUUUGGACAAAGUACUCUACUUCUUUAUGCCUCAGAUUCCUCCUAGUGAUAACUUGCCACACAUUUUUAUGAAGAAUAAAUAAGUUAAUCUUUGUAAAGCCCUCAGAUUGCCACAUAGUAUGGGACUUCACCGAACAAGAAAACAUGAAUGAACUCCACUGUUGUGAAACUGACUGCUGUCUCCUUGGGCUCUGCGGGUGUGUGAAGCCUGGUGUGAGUGUGUGAGAGCCCUGGUACAAGGCAGAGCCCUCCCACAUCGCCUGCUGCAUGGAAGGUUCUUUGUCUGACCAGGCUCACCGCUGAUGUGGCUUUCUCAGGUUUCUAGAGGCAGCUGCAGAGCUCAGAGAGAGCCCUGGAGCCUUAUCUGGAUUCUGGAGGGCAAUGAUUCCAUGGAAAACUGGGUGACACUUGUCUACAGUGGUUGAACUAGCAAAAUGCCAGGAAUAUAUAGGACCCAAGACUGACUUCCCCAGAUGUUUUCCUCUGCACAAAGUGUCUUUCUUGGAGGUGAACAUGGAAUAUGGAAAGAGUUCCCAGAGAGUAAUCUGGUGAACUUCAGAUGACUUGGUUGGACAGAAUCUGAUGGAAAGUAAGCUAAAAGAAACCAGUGUGGCUGAAUGCAAGCACUCUGGUGCCAUGUCCAGGCAUUUCCAAGUGGCACCCGGGGCACCGUUGUUGCUAUUCCAUGGCUCCUUCAGAACUCAUCAAUACUCUGACUGCAGAUGGUUUUCCUGAAAGUUACAGCUGUAGAAAGAAGAUGAGAAUUUCUUUAAAUACACAGAAAUGAUUCUGAGCUACACUUACGAAAGUGAGGAUGGAAAAAAAGAGUUCUUGAUCAUUCCUGAUUCCAUCACAGUGUGUUUCUCUUUAAUCUCUUUAUUCAUGAAAGAAACCUACUUUGUUUUUAAAAUUAAACUAUCCCCAGAUUAAUAGCCAUUUAAUUGAAUAUUUUUUAGCAUUUUUGGAAUUAAAUUUCAUAAUGUUCCAGUCAUAAAAUAAUCAUUUUAUUUUUUUUGUCCUUAUGCAUGAUUUUCAUGAUCUUUUACUUAAGUUCUUUUAAUCAGGUUUCCACUAAGUCAUUGUAUGUGUGUGUGAUAUGUAUGCUUGAGGAGUGUGUGUGAGAGAGAGAGAGGGAAAAGUGAGGUCCCUUAAGUGUUGCCAGUGUUUCAUUUCCUUUGGUUUUGAACCCAGGUUUCCUGAAUUGCAAGCAGUCUCCUGCAUUGCAGGUGGAUGCUUUACCAGCUAAGCCACCAGGGAAGCCCUUUUAACUAUAUUAUCAACUAAAUAAUUCAUUUUUCAAGAUUAAUCAAUUUUACUUACAAUGUGCUUAGCUAAAUUUUGCUGGAUAUAUCAUUUUUUGUUGACUGUGUAUUAAAGUAUAAAUGGUAUUUUUGAAAAAUAAAACCAUUAUGCAGGUGAA